UACAGAGGUCUCAACCGUUGUUCGGAUUCAUUGGGCGUAAAGGGUACGUAGGCGGUCGGGUAAGUCGGAUGUGAAAUCUCAGGGCUCAACCCUGAAACUGCAUUCGAUACUGCUUGGCUAGUGUACUGGAGAGGAGACUGGAAUUUACGGUGUAGCAGUGAAAUGCGUAGAUAUCGUAAGGAAGACCAGUGGCGAAGGCGAGUCUCUGGACAGUUACCGACGCUGAGGCACGAAGGCCAGGGGAGCAAACGGG
rnacentral:rRNA from 1 species